AGGGCUAAAGGAUAGUGCGGAAGGAAGGCACACACACACAAAUACCAGCCUGAGGUGGGCCUCCUUCCCAGCAGAGGGCCAGACUGGCUGAGAUUCAACAGGAGAAGAGUCACAUACUGAAGUCUAUGACAAAGCUGGUACCGUGAAUUACGAGAGACAGCAGUCACACCCGGACCAGUGUUAACUUGUAGCACCGCUGGUUUCUGAACCUACCUGCCAACUCUCAAGUGGUCGGAGACGCUCCAGUUCCAGCUCCUGUGUGUGCAGACUUCUCUGAGCUUUUUCCAGCUGAGAGCGCAGGCGCUGC